UACGUAGGAGGCGAGCGUUGUCCGGAAUUACUGGGCGUAAAGCGCACGUAGGCGGCUUUGUAAGUUAGAGGUGAAAGCCCGGGGCUCAACUCCGGAAUUGCCUUUAAGACUGCAUCGCUUGAGUUGUGGAGAGGUAAGUGGAAUUCCGAGUGUAGAGGUGAAAUUCGUAGAUAUUCGGAAGAACACCAGUGGCGAAGGCGACUUACUGGACACAUACUGACGCUGAGGUGCGAAAGCGUGGGGAGCAAACAGG
rnacentral:rRNA from 1 species